AGGUCAUAGAAGUUUGGCUUCUCUCAUUGACCUGGAAGGAUGCCGUCAUCCACUCUGACCUGCAAACCUUUUGAUCUCAAACAGCGAUCUUCCAGGCGUGGCCCCAAAUCAACAGCAUCAGCGUCACCCAGGAGCUGGAUUCUUUCCCAAAACCCAAAGGCCCAGUCCAGUCACGAGAAGACAUCAGGCAAACCGAAAUUCAGGGAAGUUCUACAAAACACUAACCAGUACUCUUCAAAGUUCUCAAGGUCAUGA
ensembl:lncRNA TMEM51-AS2 TMEM51 antisense RNA 2